AUCAAAAAUGUUCUCAUUUGCUUUCUUGUAUGUUAGUCUUUAGCUCAAAUAGGUAGAGCACUUGGGGAUUCCCUAAGAGAUGGUGGUUCGAAUCCAUCAAGAUCCGUUGAUUUUUUU